rnacentral:rRNA from 1 species
CCUACGGGAGGCUGCAGUGAGGAAUAUUGGUCAAUGGCCGGAAGGCUGAACCAGCCAAGCCGCGUGAAGGACGAAGGUGCCAAGCAUUGUAAACUUCUUUUGUCAAGGGACAAAAUCAGGCUCGAGAGCCUGACCGAGGGUACUUGAAGAAAAAGCAUCGGCUAACUCCGUGACAGCAGCCGCGGUAAUACGGAGGAUGGGAGCGUUAUCCGGAUUUAUUGGGUUUAAAGGGUGGGUGGGCGGACUGUAAAGUCAGCGGUAAAAGUCCGGGGCUCAACCCCGGCGAGCCGUUGAAACUGGGUGUCUUGAGAUGUCGAGAGGUAUGCGGAAUGCGCAGUGUAGCGGUGAAAUGCUUAGAUAUUGCGAAGAACUCCGAUGGCGAAGGCAGCAUACCGGCGGCGAUCUGACGCUGAGGCACGAAAGCGUGGGUAUCGAACAGGAUUAGAUACCCUAGUAGUC